AAUGCAGCUCUAAAUGGGUGGUAAAUUUCAUCUAAAGCUAAAUAUUGGCCGGAGACCGAUAGCGCACAAGUAGAGUGAUCGAAAGAUGAAAAGCACUUUGAAAAGAGAGUUAAAAAGCACGUGAAAUUGUUGAAAGGGAAGCGCUUGCGACCAGACUCGCCCGCGGGGUUCAGCCGGCAUUCGUGCCGGUGUACUUCCCCGCGGGCGGGCCAGCGUCGGUUUGGGCGGCCGGUCAAAGGCCCUCGGAAUGUAACGCCCCCCGGGGCGUCUUAUAGCCGAGGGUGCCAUGCGGCCCGCCCGGACCGAGGAACGCGCUUCGGCUCGGACGCUGGCAUAAUGGUCGUAAGCGACCCGUCUUGAAACACGGACCAAGGAGUCUAACAUCUACGCGAGUGUUCGGGUGUCAAACCCGUGCGCGCAGUGAAAGCGAACGGAGGUGGGAACCCUCACGGGUGCACCAUCGACCGAUCCUGAUGUCUUCGGAUGGAUUUGAGUAAGAGCGUAGCUGUUGGGACCCGAAAGAUGGUGAACUAUGCCUGAAUAGGGCGAAGCCAGAGGAAACUCUGGUGGAGGCUCGCAGCGGUUCUGACGUGCAAAUCGAUCGUC
rnacentral:rRNA from 1 species